rnacentral:rRNA from 1 species
GACGAACGCUGGCGGCGUGCUUAACACAUGCAAGUCGAACGAAGUGGCGAACGGGUGAGUAAUACGUGGGUAUCCUGCCCUCCCCCUUGGGAUAAGCCUUGGAAACGGGGUCUAAUACCGAAUAAAGGGGGAUGGGCUCGCGGCCUAACAGCUUGUUGGUGGGGUGAUGGCCUACCAAGGCGGUGACGGGGAGCCGGCCUGAGAGGAUGACCUGCCACAUUGCGACUGAGUUACGGCCCAGACUACUACGGGUGGCAGCAGUGGGGGAUAUUGCACAAUGGGCGAAAGCCUGAUGCAGCGACGGCGCGUAGGGAAUUAAAGCUUACGGGUUGUAAACCUCUUGCGCGAUGGAAAGGGUAGGUGGAGAGGAAACGCCGGCUAACUACGUGCCAGCAGCCGCGGUAAUUC